GAAGCUGACCAGACAGUCGCCGCUUCGUCGUCGUCCUUUCGGGGAGACGGGCGGAGGGGAGGAAAGUCCGGGCUCCAUAGGGCAGGGUGCCAGGUAACGCCUGGGGGGGAAACCCACGACCAGUGCAACAGAGAGCAAACCGCCGAUGGCCCACGUAAGUGGGAUCAGGUAAGGGUGAAAGGGUGCGGUAAGAGCGCACCGCGCGGCUGGUAACAGUCCGUGGCACGGUAAACUCCACCCGGAGCAAGGCCAAAUAGGGGUUCAUAAGGUACGGCCCGUACUGAACCCGGGUAGGCUGCUUGAGCCAGUGAGCGAUUGCUGGCCUAGAUGAAUGACUGUCCACGACAGAACCCGGCUUAUCGGUCAGUUUC
rnacentral:RNase_P_RNA from 2 species